AUGCGCUGGAGGAGAGCCCCGGGGGGCGGGGGAGUGUCGCUGGGAUGGGCCCUUAUGCACCAACAGACUCAGCAGAGCCGAAGCCAUCGUCACACUGACUCCUGGUUGCACACAAGUGAACUCAAUGAUGGCUAUGAUUGGGGUCAUCUUAAUCUUCAGUCAGUGACUAAACAGAGCUCUCUUGAUGACUUCCUUGCUACUGCCGAACUCGUAAGAACAGUUUGUUGCUGAGAAACUCAAUAUUAAGUUUGUGAUGGCUGAGGCUAGAACUUGACUGCUAUCUUUUGAGGAGAGCCAGAGAAUUAAGAAGCUCCAUGAACAAAACAAACAGUUCUCGUGUAAUACCAAGGAGACCAAACUGGGACAAAAAAACUAGCCCAGAAGAACUCAAACAGGCAGAGAAAGAUAAUUUUCUAGAAUGGAGACAUCAGCUUGUCCGGCUAGAAGAGGAACAAAAGCUGAUACUGACUCCAUUUGAACGAAAUUUGAACUUCUGGCGCCAGCCCUGGAGAGUCAUUGAGAGAAGUGAUAUUGUGGUCCAGACAGUAGAUGCUCGAAACCCACUCCUGUUUAGAUGUGAGGAUUUGGAAUAUUAUGUGAAAGAAAUGGAUGCCAAUAAGGAGAACAUCAUUCUGAUCAACAAGGCAGACUUGCCUACUGCUGAGCAGCAGCGCCUGGGCCACACACUUUGAAAAAGAAGACGUGAAGGUUAUUUUCUGGUCAGCUCUGGCCAGAGGCAUUCACCUGAACGCUGACUCUGAGGAAGAGGUAAACAGAGAUGAUAGACAAAGCAACACAAUUGAGUUUGAAAACUCCAGUUUCGACAAGGCUGAAAUUUCACACAAUGAGAUCAAACAUCUCCCAGCCAGGGACUCUCCUUCACUUAGUGAAAAUCCCACUACUGAUGAAGAGGACAGUGAGUAUGGGCACUGUCAGGAGGAAGAGGAAGAUGACUGGCAGACACGUUCAGAAGAAGACAGUCCUGAUGAAGAGGACUGUGGCCAGGACUGGAAGGAAAGCUAUAUGACAGAUUCUGAGGCUCCGGGCAGGAACACCCCACAGAAGAGACAGACACACAACUUUAGCCAUCUGGUAUCAAAGCAGGAGUUACUAGAGCUUUUUAAGGAGCUACAUACCGGGAAGAAGGUGAAAGAUGGGCAACUUACAGUCGGACUGGUGGGCUACCCUAAUGUUGGUAAGAGUUCAACAAUCAACACCAUCAUGGGCAACAAGAAAGUAUCUGUGUCUGCCACACCUGGUCACACGAAGCACUUUCAGACACUCUACGUGGAGCCUGGCCUCUGCCUAUGUGACUGCCUAGGUUUGGUGAUGCCAUCUUUUGUGUCCACCAAGGCAGAAAUGACUUGCAGCAGAAUCCUCCCAAUUGAUCAGAUGGGAGAUCUCGUUCCACCUGUAUCAUUAGUUUGCCAGAAUAUUCUAAGACAUGUUUUAGAAGUUACCUAUGGGAUGAAUAUCAUAAAGCCUAGAGAGGAUGAUGAUCCCCACCGACCUCCAACAUCAGAAGAACUGUUAACAGCUUAUGGAUAUAUGCGAGGAUUCAUGACAGCGCAUGGACAGUCAGACCAGCCUCGAUCUGCGCACUAUAUCCUGAAGGACUAUGUCAGUGGUAAGCUGCUGUACUGCCAUCCUCCCUCCUGGAAGAGAUCCUGUAACUUUUCGGAUCAACACCAGUGACUCCUAGAGAGCAAAACGAAUGGUGAUGAAAUAAAAAUGCAGCCAGGCAGAAAUAAAAAAAGCAAAGCAGAUUAAAAAUAUAGUUGAUAAAACUUUUUUCCAUCAAGAGAAUGUGAGAGCUUUGACCAAAGGAGUCCAGGCUGUGAUGGGUUACAAGCCCAGGAGCAGGGUAUUGACUGCGGCUACUGUGAGCUCUGAGAAUGGGGCAGAGAUGCCCUGGAAGAAACAUGGCAACAGAAAUAAAAAAGAAAAAAGUCAUAGACUCUAUAAGCACCUGGAAAUGUGAAGUUGGGCUACAACAGAAUGUCAUCUGCACUGUGCAGAUGGGAAAGAGCAGAAGCCGCUGGUUGCCUAUGGAACUGUUCCAAGACACUGGCACUGUAGAAGGGGCCUGCUCUUGUGGAGCACAGCUGCACCCAACAGUCUUCAAGUCAAGACUGAGGGCCUCCUGGAAACACCAGCUCUCACUAGAAGGAGUUAUUGGGGAGCCCCAGAAACUUACUCCAGCAGCACCCAGCAGUCUUCAUGUCAAGACUGAGGGCCUCCUGGAAACACCAACUCUCACUAAAAGGAGUUAUUGAGGAGCCCUAGAAACCUCCUGGCAGAGCAGUGCUUCAUGUGCCAACAUGGUGAAACUCCAGUGAACCUCCAUCUCUACAAAAAAUACAAAAAAAUUAGCUGGGUGUGGCAGCGUGCACCUGUAAUCCUAGCUACUCGGGAGGCUGAGGCAGGAGAAUCACUUGAACCUGGGAC